rnacentral:tRNA from 1 species
CGAGACGUAGCUUAAAUAAAAGCAUUCAGCUUACACCUGAAAGAUAUCUACUAAUACUAGGUCGUCUUGA